rnacentral:rRNA from 1 species
CCAGACUCCUACGGGAGGCAGCAGUGGGGAAUAUUGGACAAUGGGGGGAACCCUGAUCCAGCGACGCCGCGUGAGUGAAGAAGUAUUUCGGUAUGUAAAGCUCUAUCAGCAGGGAAGAAAAUGACGGUACCUGAUUAAGAAGCCCCGGCUAACUACGUGCCAGCAGCCGCGGUAAUACGUAGGGGGCAAGCGUUAUCCGGAUUUACUGGGUGUAAAGGGAGCGUAGACGGCGAUGCAAGUCUGAAGUGAAAGCCCGGGGCUCAACCCCGGGACUGCUUUGGAAACUGUAUGGCUGGAGUACUGGAGAGGCAAGCGGAAUUCCUAGUGUAGCGGUGAAAUGCGUAGAUAUUAGGAAGAACACCAGUGGCGAAGGCGGCUUGCUGGACAGUAACUGACGUUGAGGCUCGAAAGCGUGGGGAGCAAACAGGAUUAGAUACCCUUGUA